CUAGCUGGCCGGACGGCCGCUGCCGGAUUGCGGGCGUCUGUGGCCCAUCGAGCAAAUCCGGUGGAGGAAAGUCCGGGCUCCAUGGAGACACGGUGGCGGCUAACGGCCACCGGGGGCGACCCCAGGGACAGUGCCACUGAAAGCAAACCGCCUGCGGUUCGCCGCAGGUAAGGGUGAAAGGGUGCGGUAAGAGCGCACCGCGCGGCCGGCGACGGUCGUGGCA
rnacentral:RNase_P_RNA from 1 species